GGUAAAAAUAGAGCUGGAUUCGUCAUUUAUAGUCUAUACUUUAGAUUUGUGAUGGUCAGAGGGAGUCAGCUUUUCAACAUCAUUGAUUUAAGAGUCGUGUUGAGGAUAGUUUGGAUGGAUAUUAUUUAUGCUCGACUAGACUCAAAGAUUGAUUAUCUAGUUGUCAAGAAUGAUUUUGCUAUUAUGGUGGAAUGGAUUCAACGACGAGUGGAUAGCCACAUCUCAUCUUCUAUCAUGUG
rnacentral:lncRNA from 1 species